UGCGCGCCGCGUUCCGGAGCUGCGCCGCCGCUCAGCACCGAGGCGGCCUCCGCAGGACCGACCCCGAGGCUUCGGGACCGACCCUGAGGCUUCGAGUGGAUGUUUGUGCCCGCGCUCGCUCCCCGACCGCUGUGGGGGCCGCGGGGCCGCGUCCACGCUGACAGGUCUCACCCCUUCAGGGCCCGCGGCGGGAGGAGAAGAAUAUAUUUGGAGAAAACUAUUGCUCCAUGAAUAUAUAUCUGUCAAGGCGUCAUUAUGUCCUGUGUCAUGCUUCCCUGAGCUGGCCAGAGCACUCAUGUCCCAUAUUUGAAACUCAGCUUCAGACUUUACGAUAAAGAACAUGCUUUUGCAUGGGGUUUGGCAAGAUUCGUUCCAAGUCUUCUCUAGCUGGUGCGGAAGUUGCGGAGAGCAGCGCCCUCCAUCCGCUAGGAUCAGCGUGAGAGGCUGAGUGUUCUCAAGAAGGUGUCUGGCUUUCGCAGGGCUCACUGUGAGCCUGUGCACAGGACUGACGAGGACAGUUCACAGUUUUGCUCUGAAGAUGGAGUCUCGGAAGAAUGCGGUGCCCCAUGUGAUCCCAGGAAGGGGACAGACCUGGUGUCCACUGUAGAGUUACGUUGUGGGAGUGGUCGUGAUCUGCAGCCUCUGCUUCAUGAGAUGUCUGUCCUUUAUUGAGUUCUGGGUGUGCUUUUUGUGACUUUUUCCUAAAGGGUGGGAUUUCCAAGGAGUGGGAUUUUUUUGGCUUCACUGUAAUUGCUGGUCCACUGGGAGUGAACAAGUCCUGUUCUGCUGCUGAGAAGUUGUGUCCCUAGCGGCUGGAGUGUGUAUUACAAGCUUCGAGGUCAAUGGUGAGGUGGUUACAGCGGUCAGCAGGCUAUUGUUAUUGAUGAUUUUUAUGGGUGAAUUCCAUAGGAUGAGAUGUUAGAUCUUAUGGUUAGAGAUCCUCCUUAAGUGCCCAUAAAGGGAGCUUUUUCUGAGUUUCAUAUUUGAUAUCUUUUUAUUACUACUAAUAGUCCUCCUUGUACUUGGUAUUCCAAUGAGCAGGGCAUUUCAACAUUGCCUGUAUUUUACUCUUGUGUUGAUGAGGAUUUGAGAAAGGAACAUGUCAGUGCUUCCACAAAUGUACACUGGAACAACCAAAUAAUAAAAUUUUA